GUGCCAGCCGCCGCGGUAAUACGUAGGUCCCGAGCGUUGUCCGGAUUUAUUGGGCGUAAAGCGAGCGCAGGCGGUUAGAUAAGUCUGAAGUUAAAGGCUGUGGCUUAACCAUAGUAUGCUUUGGAAACUGUUUAACUUGAGUGCAGAAAGGGAGAGUGGAAUUCCAUGUGUAGCGGUGAAAUGCGUAGAUAUAUGGAGGAACACCGGUGGCGAAAGCGGCUCUCUGGUCUGUAACUGACGCUGAGGCUCGAAAGCGUGGGGAGCAAACAGGAUUAGAUACCCUGGUAGUC
rnacentral:rRNA from 1 species